AUAGUACAACCGAGGCACUAGGGCUGUCGCUGACGUUUCGUCGUGCACGCCCAAGUGCUCUCGCACAAUCCAUCUCACCCCUUUGUGCACCACCGCGUGGGUCCCUCUUUGGCUUGUUCCGAGGGGGGCUCGCGUUUUCACACAAACUUGUAGCAGUGUAGAAUGUCUUUUCUUUUUGCGAUGACACGCAAUCAAUACAACUUUCAACAACGGAUCUCUUGGCUCUCGCAUCGAUGAAGAACGCAGCGAAAUGCGAUACGUAAUGUGAAUUGCAGAAUUCAGUGAAUCAUCGAAUCUUUGAACGCACCUUGCGCCCCUUGGCAUUCCGAGGGGCACACCCGUUUGAGUGUCGUGAAAUUCUCAAAAACCCCUCCCUUUGGUGGGAAGGAUUUUUGGACUUGGAGGCCUUUUGCUGGUUUCACCUUGAAGCGAGCUCCUCCCAAAUGGAUUAGUGGGGUCUGCUUUGCCGAUCCUUGACGUGAUAAGAUGUUUCUACGUCUUGGGUUUUCGCACUGUACCUGUGGUUCUAACCGUCUCAUUGACAAUGAUGGUG
rnacentral:rRNA from 1 species